GCAUGUUCACAUGAUUAAAGGUAUUCCGGUAGACGAUGGGGAUGCGUUCCAUUAGAUAGUAGGCGGGGUAACGGCCCACCUAGUCUUCGAUGGAUAGGGGUUCUGAGAGGAAGGUCCCCCACAUUGGAACUGAGACACGGUCCAAACUCCUACGGGAGGCAGCAGUGAGGAAUAUUGGUCAAUGGGCGAGAGCCUGAACCAGCCAAGUAGCGUGAAGGAUGACUGCCCUAUGGGUUGUAAACUUCUCUUAUAAAGGAAUAAAGUCGGGUAUGCAUACCUGUUUGCAUGUACUUUAUGAAUAAGGAUCGGCUAACUCCGUGCCAGCAGCCGCGGUAAUACGGAGGAUCCGAGCGUUAUCCGGAUUUAUUGGGUUUAAAGGGAGCGUAGAUGGAUGUUUAAGUCAGUUGUGAAAGUUUGCGGCUCAACCGUAAAAUUGCAGUUGAUACUGGAUAUCUUGAGUGCAGUUGAGGCAGGCGGAAUUCGUGGUGUAGCGGUGAAAUGCUUAGAUAUCACGAAGAACUCCGAUUGCGAAGGCAGCCUGCUAAGCUGCAACUGACAUUGAGGCUCGAAAGUGUGGGUAUCAAACAGGAUUAGAUACCCUGGUAGUCCACACGGUAAACGAUGAAUACUCGCUGUUUGCGAUAUACAGCAAGCGGCC
rnacentral:rRNA from 1 species